rnacentral:tRNA from 1 species
GGAAAGUUGCCGGAGUGGUCGAUCGGGACGGUCUCGAAAACCGUUGUACGGGUAACUGUACCGAGAGUUCGAAUCUCUCACUUUCCGC